UACAGAGGGGGCAAGCGUUGUUCGGAAUUACUGGGCGUAAAGCGCACGUAGGCGGCUUUGUAAGUUAGAGGUGAAAGCCCGGGGCUCAACCCCGGAAUUGCCUUCAAGACUGCAUCGCUAGAAUUGUGGAGAGGUAAGUGGAAUUCCGAGUGUAGAGGUGAAAUUCGUAGAUAUUCGGAAGAACACCAGUGGCGAAGGCGACUUACUGGACACAUAUUGACGCUGAGGUGCGAAAGCGUGGGGAGCAAACAGG
rnacentral:rRNA from 1 species